rnacentral:rRNA from 1 species
CAUGACCAGUGGGGAAUUUGGACAUGGGCGCAAGCCUGAUCCAGCCAUUCCGCGUGAGUGAAGAAAGCCUUCGGGUUGUAAAGCUCUUUCUCAAGGGAAGAAAACUUACAUUCUAAUAAAGUGUGAGGCUGACGGUACCUUGAUAAGAAGCACCGGCUAACUACGUGCCAGCAGCCGCGGGAAU